rnacentral:rRNA from 1 species
CGAGCGAAACACUUUGCUUAGAUUCUUCGGAUGAAGAGGAUUGUGACUGAGCGGCGGACGGGUGAGUAACGCGUGGGUAACCUGCCUCAUACAGGGGGAUAACAGUUAGAAAUGACUGCUAAUACCGCAUAAGACCACAGCACCGCAUGGUGCAGGGGUAAAAACUCCGGUGGUAUGAGAUGGACCCGCGUCUGAUUAGCUAGUUGGUAAGGUAACGGCUUACCAAGGCGACGAUCAGUAGCCGACCUGAGAGGGUGACCGGCCACAUUGGGACUGAGACACGGCCCAAACUCCUACGGGAGGCAGCAGUGGGGAAUAUUGCACAAUGGGGGAAACCCUGAUGCAGCGACGCCGCGUGAGCGAAGAAGUAUUUCGGUAUGUAAAGCUCUAUCAGCAGGGAAGAAAAUGACGGUACCUGACUAAGAAGCACCGGCUAAAUACGUGCCAGCAGCCGCGGUAAUACGUAUGGUGCAAGCGUUAUCCGGAUUUACUGGGUGUAAAGGGAGCGUAGACGGAUGGGCAAGUCUGAUGUGAAAACCCGGGGCUCAACCCCGGGACUGCAUUGGAAACUGUUCAUCUAGAGUGCUGGAGAGGUAAGUGGAAUUCCUAGUGUAGCGGUGAAAUGCGUAGAUAUUAGGAGGAACACCAGUGGCGAAGGCGGCUUAC